rnacentral:misc_RNA from 1 species
AAGUUAUAAUAAGGUUUCUAUAGGUGAACCUGCGGAAGGAUUAUUACUACUUACUUAUAGCUACCUAGCGGGGAAACCCCCUUAGUAGUAUAGUAAUACCUACCCUUAACUAUAUAUACCUUUCGUUAUUUCCCUCGGCAGGGCAACCUGCUGCUAGGGAUAAUAAAACCCUCUUAUAUUAAGCAUCAAAACUUCUAAAAUAAACCUAAAAUAUCACAACUUUUAACAAUAGAUCUCUUAGUUCUA